CGGACGGGUGAGUAAAGUAUCGCUAACGUACCCCUGGGUCUGGGAUAGCCGUGGGAAACCGCGGGUAAUACCAGAUGACGUGGCCCGGUGGCAUCACCGGGACCCCAAAGGCCGCAAGGCCGCCGAGGGCGCGGGCGAUAUCGUAUCAGCUGGUUGGCGGGGUAACGGCCCGCCAAGGCGAUGACGCGUAGCUGGUCUGAGAGGACGGCCAGCCACAUCGGGACUGAGACACUGCCCGG
rnacentral:rRNA from 1 species